rnacentral:rRNA from 1 species
AACGCUGGCGGCAGGCUUAACACAUGCAAGUCGAACGCUCUUCUUCGGAAGAGAGUGGCAGACGGGUGAGUAACACGUGGGAAUCUACCUAUCUCUGCGGAACAACACAUAGAAAUGUGUGCUAAUACCGCAUACGCCCUUCGGGGGAAAGAUUUAUCGGAGAUAGAUGAGCCCGCGCUUGAUUAGCUAGUUGGUGAGGUAAUGGCUCACCAAGGCGACGAUCAAUAGCUGGUCUGAGAGGAUGAUCAGCCACACUGGGACUGAGACACGGCCCAGACUCCUACGGGAGGCAGCAGUGGGGAAUAUUGGACAAUGGGCGCAAGCCUGAUCCAGCCAUGCCGCGUGAGUGAUGAAGGCCCUAGGGUUGUAAAGCUCUUUCAACGGUGAAGAUAACGACGGUAACCGUAGAAGAAGUCCCCGGCUAACUUCGG